AUGAAGGCUGGAAAGGACGGCUUCGAGGGCCCGCAGGAGGCGCAGCAUCGCAUCUGCAUCACCCAAGCAUCAAGAACCUCGAGAAGGGUGAUGAUGAUGGGUGGAUCUCGUCGAUCCGCACCUCGUCACCCACCACAUCGCCGGAUCCGUGACAUGGGAAGGUCAUGGGGAAGCAAAAGCUCAGUGUCAAGACUGGGGAGGACUCCAAUCCUCGUGACUAGAUGGUGGCAAUGGCAUCUUGCAUACCAUAUUCUCGUGGGUGGGUGCAGCGAGGGGCUGGGCAAGCGCGGUGCGCAGUGGAUGGAGGUCAUCUCGUGGGAGCCCAGGGCGUUCGUCUACCACAACUUCCUGGUAAUCGCUGCUGCUGCUGCCCACUCUGCCUUCCCUUCAACACCCAUAAUCACUGCUGCUGCCGCCAUGGUUCAUUCGGUCCUGCACCUGCUC
rnacentral:rRNA from 1 species